GUCCACGCCGUAAACGAUGAGAACUAGGUGUGGGAGGUGUCGACUCCUCCCGUGCCGUCGCUAACGCAUUAAGUUCUCCGCCUGGGGAGUACGGCCGCAAGGCUAAAACUCAAAGGAAUUGACGGGGGCCCGCACAAGCAGCGGAGCAUGUGGUUUAAUUCGAUGCAACGCGAAGAACCUUACCUGGGUUUGAAAUGUUGGUGACCGCCGUGGAAACACGGCUUUCCUUCGGGACACCAUCACAGGUGGUGCAUGGCUGUCGU
rnacentral:rRNA from 1 species